rnacentral:misc_RNA from 1 species
GUGGUGUUUGGAUUGUCGCUGCCGGCUGGCUCUGUGCUCUCGCGCCGAACUGUCUGCACGCAAUCGUCCUGGCUGCCGUGAGGCGGGAUGGCGCCUCAGAGGCCGGUUCUUGUGCUUCCUACCCGUCGGGAGGAAGCAGACCGCUCGAAAGCCAGCCUCCGUCCGGCGCCCCCGAAAGGGCGCAGGAGGACAGCGUAGCGCCCCCCGCGUUCCACCGAGCCCCGAGCGGUCGGUUGGCCCGCGGGGACGCGCGAUGCUCUCGGACCCAGCGCACGCCGCGGACGGGGACUCGCGUCCCGGUCCUAAGAGAAGCCCCGACCUCCUGCACGACGGCCGCGCCCGCCCCGUGACCGCCCCGGCGGCGCGGGGGGGAGGCGCGGCGUCCUUGAGGAUUGCUACCUGGUUGAUCCUGCCAGUAGUCAUAUGCUUGUCU